GGUUACACACUCAUUAGGAUCGGCCUGUCAGUUACAUUUCAUGCCUGCAACGCACCACGCUGCAGCUUUUCCAGCACGGCUCUCCCACGUCCCUCCCUUUUCCUUGAAGCCAAGCCCUAACGACAGCUAUGGGUGGGGAGAGGCUGAACAACGAGCGCAGCCAAAAUGUGGAAACUUCCCCGGGCGCUUAGCGGGGGAAAAAAAAACAGGAGAAAGAAAAAGGCAAAGAAAGGGCUCUGAUCAGACUAUGCAAGCAGCAAAACAGCAGCAGCUCGAUCAAAGGCGCUGCGCGGGAGGAAGAGUCCAGAGCCAUUCCCACCCAGGGAGAAGGGAGACCCGAGAGCAGGAAACGCAAAGACAAUGCGCCAUAAAGCUGCCGCAAGGUGUUGGAUCGAUGACAACAUCUGCAUGAAUCCUUCCCCUGGCAGCCAGGGAUACAAUAGAAGCUGUUCCUAUGGAAACCAGAGCAAAAGCAUCGGGCAGGAGGAAGAAGGCUGCAAUUAAAGGUGGAAAAGCGAGAGAGUAUUUUUAGAUUGCUUCGGAGGAACGCUACAGAAUGACAUCAUCCUAUCUUGUUAUUUGCACUGGGGCUAUGUAACAUACUGCGGCGUCUGCCCCUGGCCAUUAAAUGGAAAAACGUUAUUAUGUGUGUGAAUUAUAAAUACUGCGGUGAAACCCGAGCUCGGGAGUUAUUAGACAUCACUGUUCUGUAAUAAAGAAGAACAUUUAA